rnacentral:rRNA from 1 species
AGGAUGGAUCUGCGGCCGAUUAGGUCGUUGUUGGGGUAACGGCCCAACAAGCCGAUAAUCGGUACGGGUUGUGAGAGCAAGAGCCCGGAGAUGGAUUCUGAGACAUGAAUCCAGGCCCUACGGGGCGCAGCAGGCGCGAAAACUUUACAAUGCGGGAAACCGUGAUAAGGGGACACCGAGUGCCAGCAUCAUAUGUUGGCUGUCCAGAUGUGUAAAAUACAUCUGUUAGCAAGGGCCGGGCAAGACCGGUGCCAGCCGCCGCGGUAACACCGGCGGCCCGAGUGGUGAUCGUGAUUAUUGGGUCUAAAGGGUCCGUAGCCGGUUUGGUCAGUCCUCCGGGAAAUCUGACGGCUCAACCGUUAGGCUUUCGGUGGAUACUGCCAGACUUGGAACCGGGAGAGGUAAGAGGUACUACAGGGGUAGGAGUGAAAUCUUGUAAUCCCUGUGAGACCACCUGUGGCGAAGGCGUCUUACCAGAACGGGUUCGACGGUGAGGGACGAAAGCUGGGGGCACGAACCGGAUUAGAUACCCGGGUAGUCCCAGCCGUAAACGAUGCUCGYUAGGUGUCAGGCAUGGCGCGACCGUGUCUGGUGCCGCAGGGAAGCCGUGAAGCGAGCCACCKGG